rnacentral:tRNA from 1 species
GGAGAUAGCUCAGUGUGUUAGAGCACAGGUCUUGCAUGCCCGAGAACCCAGGUUCGAUACCUGGUACCACCA